rnacentral:rRNA from 1 species
UACGGAGGGUGCGAGCGUUGUCCGGAAUUAUUGGGUCUAAAGGGUGCGUAGGUGGCCAUAUAAGUCAGAGGUUAAAGCUUACAGCUUAACUGUAAUGAGCCUUUGAUACUGUAUGGCUUGAGUUUAAUUUGGGUAGGCGGAAUUGAUAGUGUAGCGGUGAAAUGCAUAGAUAUUAUCAAGAACACCAAUAGCGUAGGCAGCCUACUGGGUUAUAACUGACACUGAUGCACGAAAGUGUGGGUAGCGAACAGG